GAAGCCGAAAAAGCGCUUACGUCGGUCGAAUGUAACCAUCCGAUCGAGUGGACGAAAAAUACGUGUAGGAGUUGUGUGGUGGUGGGAAAUGGACGGCAAAUAUUGAACUCUGGUUUAGGGUCCGUUGUAGACGACUUUGAGGUAGUCAUACGGUUAAAUCAAGCACCUACGGCGGGAUUUGAACAAGACGUGGGAAGUCGAACUACUUUAAGGCUUUUUUAUCCGGAAUCCGCGAAGUUUCCACCCGGGUUUUCGCCAGCCGCAGAAGAGCAUGUGGUACUAAUGUCCUUCAAACCUUUGAAUCUUAAUUGGGACUGGCAUCGGCCGGAACGCAGCGAAACGCGAUAGGUAAUGUGAAUUGCAGAAUUCCGUGAAUCAUCGAAUCUUUGAACGCACCUUGCGCUCCAUGGUAUUCCGUGGAGCAUGCCUGUUUGAGUGCCGCGAAUUCUCCCUCCCCUUACGGUGGCCGAAAGGCCGAAGUAGGGCGGACGGGGUAGGAUGGGUGUUUGCUGCCUGGGGAUUGUACCAGGCUCGCCCGAAAUGCAUAAGCGCCAGGACCCUCGCUACCGCUCUCUAGGGAAGAGUGGCUAAGCGACCGCUGAGCAUGGCAUGAUACGUCAUUUGCUGUGUGUGGGCGGCCGGUUGGAGAGGUGUCUGCUUUACCAGCCCUAUUUUAAUUCUGGUCUCAAAUCAGGUAGGAUCACCCGCUGAACUUAAGCAUAUCAAUAAGCGGAGGAAA
rnacentral:rRNA from 1 species